rnacentral:ncRNA from 1 species
GAUAUGACGAUGAUAGAGGAAAGUAAAUUUAUCUAAAGCUUACAGAGAGUAGGGGAUGCUGAGAAACCUGCAGUGGAAGUUACUUUGAAGUUCCCUCUGGAGUUUUAAGCUGAAAUUUUAUUAGGUAAAACGGAGCUUUCACCGUUAUAAGAAAGAGGAUAUCGGAUUUCAUUCCCGUAUCUGUUUGAGAUGUCAAUUGUAUUAGGUGUUCUGUAAACAGUAUUAGAAUAUCAAAUAUGAUUGAUAAAUAAGGUGGUACAGCGUGAGUUUAACCUCUCGUCCUUUUU